CGUUGAAACACCGGUUCCCGUACGAUCACCGAAGUUAAGCAACGUCGAACCUGGUCCGUACCUAGAUUGGUGACCGCUUCGAAACACUGGCUGCUGUAAG